rnacentral:rRNA from 1 species
AGAGUUUGAUCCUGGCUCAGAUUGAACGCUGGCGGCAUGCUUUACACAUGCAAGUCGAACGGCAGCACAGGGAGCUUGCUCCCGGGUGGCGAGUGGCGCACGGGUGAGUAAUACAUCGGAACGUGUCCUGUUGUGGGGGAUAACUGCUCGAAAGGGUGGCUAAUACCGCAUGAGACCUGAGGGUGAAAGCGGGGGAUCGCAAGACCUCGCGCAAUUGGAGCGGCCGAUGCCCGAUUAGCUAGUUGGUGAGGUAAAGGCUCACCAAGGCGACGAUCGGUAGCUGGUCUGAGAGGACGACCAGCCACACUGGGACUGAGACACGGCCCAGACUCCUACGGGAGGCAGCAGUGGGGAAUUUUGGACAAUGGGGGCAACCCUGAUCCAGCCAUGCCGCGUGCAGGAUGAAGGCCUUCGGGUUGUAAACUGCUUUUGUCAGGGACGAAAAGGACCGUGUUAAUACCAUGGUCUGCUGACGGUACCUGAAGAAUAAGCACCGGCUAACUACGUGCCAGCAGCCGCGGUAAUACGUAGGGUGCAAGCGUUAUCCGGAAUUAUUGGGCGUAAAGGGCUCGUAGGCGGUUCGUCGCGUCCGGUGUGAAAGUCCAUCGCUUAACGGUGGAUCCGCGCCGGGUACGGGCGGGCUUGAGUGCGGUAGGGGAGACUGGAAUUCCCGGUGUAACGGUGGAAUGUGUAGAUAUCGGGAAGAACACCAAUGGCGAAGGCAGGUCUCUGGGCCGUCACUGACGCUGAGGAGCGAAAGCGUGGGGAGCGAACAGGAUUAGAUACCCUGGUAGUCCACGCCGUAAACGGUGGAUGCUGGAUGUGGGGACCAUUCCACGGUCUCCGUGUCGGAGCCAACGCGUUAAGCAUCCCGCCUGGGGAGUACGGCCGCAAGGCUAAAACUCAAAGAAAUUGACGGGGGCCCGCACAAGCGGCGGAGCAUGCGGAUUAAUUCGAUGCAACGCGAAGAACCUUACCUGGGCUUGACAUGUUCCCGACAGCCCCAGAGAUGGGGCCUCCCUUCGGGGCGGGUUCACAGGUGGUGCAUGGUCGUCGUCAGCUCGUGUCGUGAGAUGUUGGGUUAAGUCCCGCAACGAGCGCAACCCUCGCCCUGUGUUGCCAGCACGUCAUGGUGGGAACUCACGGGGGACCGCCGGGGUCAACUCGGAGGAAGGUGGGGAUGACGUCAGAUCAUCAUGCCCCUUACGUCCAGGGCUUCACGCAUGCUACAAUGGCCGGUACAACGGGAUGCGACACCGCGAGGUGGAGCGGAUCCCUUAAAACCGGUCUCAGUUCGGAUUGGAGUCUGCAACCCGACUCCAUGAAGGCGGAGUCGCUAGUAAUCGCGGAUCAGCAACGCCGCGGUGAAUGCGUUCCCGGGCCUUGUACACACCGCCCGUCAAGUCAUGAAAGUGGGUAGCACCCGAAGCCGGUGGCCCAACCUUUUGGGGGGAGCCGUCUAAGGUGAGACUCGUGAUUGGGACUAAGUCGUAACAAGGUAGCCGUACCGGAAGGUGCGGCUG